rnacentral:rRNA from 1 species
AAAGGAAUUGACGGGGGCCCGCACAAGCGGCGGAGCAUGUUGCUUAAUUCGAGGCAACGCGAAGAACCUUACCUGGGUUUGACAUGUACGGAAAAGCCGCAGAGAUGCGGUGUCCUUCGGGGUCGUACACAGGUGGUGCAUGGUUGUCGUCAGCUCGUGUCGUGAGAUGUUGGGUUAAGUCCCGCAACGAGCGCAACCCUUGUCCUAUGUUGCCAGCGGGUAAUGCCGGGGACUCGUAGGAGACUGCCGGGGUCAACUCGGAGGAAGGUGGGGACGACGUCAAAUCAUCAUGCCCCUUAUGUCCAGGGCUGCAAACAUGCUACAAUGGCCGGUACAACGGGCUGCGAGACUGCGAGGUCGAGCGAAUCCCUUAAAGCCGGUCUCAGUUCGGAUUGAAGUCUGCAACUCGACUUCAUGAAGCUGGAGUCGCUAGUAAUCCCGGAUCAGCAACGCCGGGGUGAAUACGUUCCCGGGCCUUGUACACACCGCCCGU